ACGGGUGGAGUAACGCGUAAGAAACUUAGCCCUUUAGACUGGGAGUAACAAGAGGGAAAACGUUACUGAUAAUAACUGGAUAAGUUAGUAUAUCGCAUGAUAUGCAAAUGAAAGCUACGGCACUAAAGGAGAGCUUUGCGUCCUAUUAGCUAGUUGGUAAGGUAAGAGCUUACCAAGGCGAUGAUAGGUAGCCGGCCUGAGAGGGUGGACGGCCACAAGGGGACUGAGAUACGGCCCUUACUCCUACGGGAGGCAGCAGUU
rnacentral:rRNA from 1 species